rnacentral:lncRNA from 1 species
UGGUUGUGUUCGCCUCUGUAAGUGAUGAUGAACAUGUUUAGAUCUAUCUGACUCCACUCCACUUGUUUCCUCCCAAUGCAAGCCUUUGAGGUACUGCAUUUGUAAUAUCCUCUGUUCUUGUAUGAUAUUAUAGUUAGUUUGGUUUGGAUAAUUUAUAUUUUGUACUAAUUUCCAAUGUUGUAGGAAGAACAGACCUGGGAAAAAGAGCACCUUUGAUGGGCUUCUGUCCAUACUUCCUCCAUGCCCACACGUCGUCACAAAGGUCGAUGGCUGGAACAUGGUGAACCGUCUUCUGUUGCUUCUUUCUAUAAAACUAAUGCUAAACAAGUCAAUUCUAUUACAGAUGAGAAGGAAAAAGAAAGAAAGAGGAAUGAAUUAUGGUUGCCUGAGCUUAUUUUUGGAAUGAGUUGGAAUGUGCAGAAGGUUAGUCUGUUUUUGAUGAUACAAAGAUGGAGUUAAAAUUGGGUUGAAAUGGUCGCAAAUCCCAUUAUAUGAUGUAGGAUUUGAAUAUGACGACGACGACGACGACGAUGAAGGAGAAUGUGGUGGUGGUUUUAAUCCUACAUAACCUCUCACCACUGCUUGAAGAUCCCAGUUGUUCUCUGCCAUGAAUAGAUAGAUAGCAAAAAUAGCAGCAACAGAACUAAGAAAUCAGAAACCCCAAUUAAAAAGAAUAAUAGGAGCAAGACUGAUGACAGGUAGAGAAGACGUUGACUUUUAUACUGAUAACUUUGAUAUCAUAUGAGUGUGGACUGUGAGCUGUGAGAUUGGAUUCCCAGUACCACCACCCCACCAUUCAGCAAUCAGAAUCCUGUGACUUUUAGAUUUAUUUUUUUCAUUUAUAGCUUUAUUUUUCUUGUUUGGUUUACAAUUAUUGACAAGUCUAGAUGUCAACGCCAUAUCACAUGUUCUUGUUUGUUUCAUUGUUUGGUUAUUUAUUUUUUGUAGAAGACGAAUCUACAGUAGUUAAAAAGAGAAAGAAAAGUUACAACAAAUUACACAUGGAAGAGUUACUUACCCAACCUUCACAGGCUCAACUAGUCACAGACACUCUUGAAGGUUUUUUACAUGUAUGUCAAGGUGCGAAAAACUAUAGCAUCUACUUCAUUG